UUUGAUCGACCCCAACCAUAGCGGGCUUUCCGCCCGCCGGUCCUGACCAUAGGUCGCCAGCACGGCCUGCACUUC
rnacentral:antisense_RNA from 1 species